rnacentral:rRNA from 1 species
AACGUUCGUAUGACGGAUACGUAGUCUUCGGGGCUUCUGCGUCUUACGUUUAUCGAAUCGAUGCCGAACGCGUGCACUUUUCCUCUAGUAGGACGUCGCGAUCCGUUGGGUGUCUGUCUAAGACUCGAGGUGGAGCCCAUGCGAUUUUCGCGAUCGUGUGGACCCUCGAUGAUGUUUUCCGACAGACUCGCUCGACGGUAUACUAAUGGCGCGAGGCCGCUACCUUAGUUAGCGUUCGGCCCGUAGCAAGCACGUUCUGCGUUUGACAGCGAUCGGACCUAGUGCCGAUUCUGUUCCGGAACGACUGUUGGUUACGGUGUUUAAUCUCUCGAACAGACCUCG